rnacentral:lncRNA from 1 species
GAGGGUGUGUCAGGUACGGCCGAGCAGCGCCUGUCCACGCUGCCCCGGCCGCUCCUCCUUGCUCUCGAGCAGCCCGGCACUGCCCUCCCGGAGCUUCCGAGGAGUCGGCUGCUGGGCCGGAGCGGAGAGGGGCACAGGUCGCCAACGGGCCGCCCUGCCUCAGCCGUUCUCAAGGGCGUUGGUGGCUCCACAAGCUCGCCCGCCCGACCUCUCGCCGCCCCAGACCCGUAAACGUCAUUAUCUAUCUCCCCUUCUUGCUUUGGAUCUUCUGAAUUCCUGCAGUUGGGACAGCUCACACAGAGCAAAUUGACUUGCUAUGAAGUGUCGGCAACAGACUCAGAACAUAUGGGCGACAAAUUUCCAAGCCAGACAACAGAGCAGAGUGCUGUUAAACACUUUCUCACCCUUGGAGUGAUUACACAAGUUCCAACAAGCGGCAGCCUUGUGGCUGCAUACUGGCUGGGCUCCUCCUUGCCUCCCUCCAUCUCCUCUCUCAGCCUCUGAGAGGCCCGAGCAUCUUGGCCUUGACCUCGUCCUCUGGAAAGUCUUAAUACGCGACUCUAGCGAUGUCUGCCCUGCUUCUGUUUUGCUGUUAGUCUUCACGACCACAAAGCAGGCCACUUGGUCCUUCCGUGCUGCUCCCAAGGCCCCGCGCUUUGAAUCUUCCAGAUGGAUAAGUGUCAGGAAGGGAGGAGGUGCUGAGACCCUCUCUUCCUCAGGAGUCAAGCUGUUUCACUCCUUUUCUCCUACAAUGGCUGGAAGUGAUCUUGUUGAAAAUCUCAGCGGUAGAAAAUGCUUUCAUCAAGGGGUCUUGAGGACUGCAUUGUUCUGAUAAGUUUUUGGAACUGUGAAGGAAAUUGAACCCACAUUCAUCUAAACCCAACAGAAGAGUUUUUCAAGUUAUUUAAUGCAUUUGUUUAGAGUCAAGGCCUUGCAAUGGAACCCUGGCUGACCUGGAACUUGCUUUAUAAAUCAAGCUGAUCUGGAACUCACCAAUAUCCACCGCCUCUGCCUCUCAUUGUUGGGAUUAAAAGCAUGUGACACCAUG